rnacentral:rRNA from 1 species
CUGAAACCGUAUGCCUACAAGCAGUCAAAGGUUCCGUAAGGGACUGAUGGCGUGCCUUUUGGAGAAUGAGCCAGCGAGUUAAUCGGUGUGGCAGGCUAAGGCAGCAACAGCCGGAGCCGGAGCGAAAGCGAGUCUGAAUAGGGCGAGUAGGUCGCAUCGAUUAGACACGAAACCAGGUGAGCUACCCAUGACCAGGCUGAAGCGAAGUUAACCCUUCGUGGAGGGCCGAACCGUCCUCUGUUGCAAAAGAGUUGGAUGAGUUGUGGGUAGGGGUGAUAUGCCAAACGAACUUGGAGAUAGCUUGUUCUCCCCGAAAUCGCUUUUGGGCGAGCGUCGCGUGUUUAGCGUUGGAGGUAGAGCACUAGUUGGGCUAGGGGGCGUUGAGCUUACCAAACCCACUUAAACUCCGAAUACCAGCGCUCCAAGCGCGGCAGUCGGACGGCGGGAGAUGAGUUUCGUCGUCGAGAGGGAAACAACCCAGACCCACAGCUAAGGUCCUGAAGUCUAGGCUGAGUGGAAAACGAGGUGGGUGUGUUUAGACAGCCAGGAGGUUGGCUUAGAAGCAGCCAUCCUUUAAAGAGUGCGUAAUAGCUCACUGGUCAAACGCGCCUGCGCGGAUAAUGUAACGGGGCUAAGCCUGGCACCGAAGCUCGGGACGAAAGUGGUAGGGGAGCGUUGAGGAUGGGACGAAGGCAGCGCGGUAAGCGUUGUUGGACUGUCCUCAAGUGAGGAUGCUGGCAUGAGUAGCGAGAAAGGUGUGAGAACCACCUUCGCCGUAAGUCUAAGGGUUCCGACGCAAGGUCAGUCCGCGUCGGGUGAGUCGAGCCUUAGCCGAGGCCGCAAGGCGUAGGUGAUGGACAACAGGUCAACAUUCCUGUACCACCGUUUCGGAGCGAAGUGGGGACGCAGAGGGGGAACUCAGCCUGGUGCUGGAUAUCCAGGUGCUAAGCGGGAUAAGCGAUGAUGGGGGUAGGCAAAUCCGCUCCCGGAGCCGAAGACGCGAUGGCGGUGCUGCGCGAGCAGCCACAAGUGAGUGGGCCCAACUGCCAAGAAAAGCCACGUAGCGAUGAUGAAAGGGUGCUCGUACCGCAAUCCGACACAGGUAGACGAGUAGAAGAUACCAAGGCGAACGGGAGAACCUUCGUUAAGGAAUUCGGCAAAUUAGCCCCGUAAGUUCGCAAUAAGGGGCACCAGCGCGAGCUGGUCGCAGUGAAAAGGGCUCUGCUGACUGUUUAACAAAACCACAGGUCUCUGCUAAAGCGCAAGCUGAGGUAUAGGGGCUGAAGCCUGCCCAGUGCCGGAAGGUUAAGAGGAGAGGUAAGCCGUAAGGCGAAGCUUUGAAUUGAAGCCCCGGUGAACGGCGGCCGUAACUAUAACGGUCCUAAGGUAGCGAAAUUCCUUGUCGGGUAAGUUCCGACCCGCACGAAUGGCCUAACGAGUAGAGCACUGUCUCAACGAAGGACCCG